UUUCUCAUGGUGUAGUGGUAACAAAGAGGUUUUUCAAUCUAAACCUGGCGGCGGUGAUGUCCAACCUUCAAUUGAACCAACCAACGAACAGAUCUCCGGCGGCAUGGUGGUGGCUACGGCGGGACGGGUUGAGAAGGAGGAGUGACGUCGGUAGGGUUGAGUUUCGGGUAAACAGUGAGAAGACGUGGCGGUGGCGGGAGCGGAAGAGAUCCCUAGGCAUUGCGAUUGGAGCUUUUGUUUUGGGUUUGGCUAUUCUUACACUCGCAGGUUGGUUAUGUCUCAUCAGACGUAGAAGAAAGACACAAGAACCUCAGAUCUAUUCGGUGGUUCAACUUUAAAUGACGGUUGCACACCACCCCUUGCCACCGCUGCUACAAUAAUAAAAAUGAAGAAGAAGAUGUAUUUACGAGUUUGCCAUUUAUUACAAAAAAAUAAGUAAAAAAAAACUCAAUGUAGAUUCGAACCCAAGUUUCGUUGAGAAAAUAAAUACUUUGUAACCACCACACCAUGAGAAUCUAAUCGUUA